ACACUCUGGGUUCUCUUCAGAUGGUAUAAAUCUUUCACCUUUUACUAAAGAUUUCCGUGGAGUAAUUCCAGAGCUCUGUUCUAGAAUCUUUGCUUUGCAUAAAUGUGUCUGGGG